AAUUCCGUCCAAGGCUAAAUACG
rnacentral:snRNA from 1 species